CAAGCUACUUGAGGCUGACAGCACACAUUAGGAGUAACUGCACUGAAGCCAAUGAAAUCGCACCAGAGGUCAGAGUGAUUUAAGUGAGCAAAGGUUUCAUCUGGGAUGGAAGUACCACUAGACAUGUCAUCCCACUGUUCUGGACCUAAGAUGAAACCAGGGAAUAUUGGCUUGAAGCUGAUAUAUUGUGACACCAGCUAUCUACAGACACGAGCACCCUUAACAAUCCCUCUCCUUUUCCUUCGUGCCCAGCAAUGAUUGCCAUGGGGAUUUUGCAGUUGUACUGGAAGUCCAAAGAGGCAUGUGUUGUGUCAGAGGACACCCUGAAGACACACUAUUCAUUACACAAACUCUUUAUCAAAUGGAACAAGGAAACAAAAACACAACACACAGCUGCAACAUUACUAUGCCUGAUUCUUCCCAGCCUCCACCCUCUAUUGUAGCCAUGUUAUUACCAGUCAAGGGCUUGAAUACCACAGGGAUGGGUAUUCACAGUAUAAAACCUUAGAUUAAAGAAGAAAAAAAAUGUACCGUAUCUAGGCUUAUCACAAUCUUCCUAUCACUCACUUAUGGGCACUCUUUGCACCCCUUUUCUGAUGUGAGCCUGAGUCCAGGCCUUAGGUUGGACUUAUGUUCAGACCCAUUUGAUUGCAAAAUCCAGUCUGAAUUAAUAUCAAAUGCUUAAAAUGGCUGCCCCCAUUCAUGUUCAGGAGCCAUGUUGACCCACUCCCUCCUGCCCUUUUAACUGGAUGUAGACUAGAAUUGGUUGAAAAACUUUGAAAUUCAAAAAUGUGUGGUGGAGGGGAAAAAAACAAAAAAAUGUUGAGGAAGAAUGUUCCCAUUUCCCCCCCAACCUUUCCUGCCUGUGUCCUUCCAGUGCCAAGCUACUUCCUCCCCAUUUGUCCCUAACUAUUAAGCAAAAGGGAAGAGGAGGAGCCUCCUUUACUUCAUCCUUACCCUGAUGCCCUGACUCUCUUUUCCAUCUUGUCUAGCUUUCUCCCUUGGCCUUCUCUCCUCCAUAGCAGUGCUCAAUAUCUGGAUUGCCACUAAGUCUCUGUCAAGCGCUCAUGAUAGAUAGUUGGCACCCAACAAUUCUGAUAAAGAACAACUUGUCACAUUUGUAAUGGAUUUCAUAGCUUUCUUUGCUAUGUUUGUCAUUAAUUACCAAUGACAAAUGGAGAUUUGCGUUUCAACCAAUUUUGCGCACUCAAGGUUCAUUUCCUUGUCUGAUUUGAUCCUGCAAUGAAAUCUUAAUGGUAGAGUUGAUAUGUCUCUGGAAGGAAAGCGAUUUCCAGCCAGUGCUCCUUCACAAAAAGACAGAGCCUGUCACUGUCACAAUCCUUUUUAUAGCCAUGUAUUGUCAAAAGAUAAUGGACGUUAGCCUAGAACUCUGGAUCCACCUUUUAGGCAUAACCCUGCACCACUGAUGUAUUUGGAGGACUUGAAUAGGAGCAGGAUCAAGACUUUUCUCAGGAAAUGUGCUGUGUGUGCUGGUGAUCUUCACAAGGCGCCUAAUGGGAGAAGAACUUGCCAUCAGCUCUGGACUAGCUGUGGUGGUGCAGUAUGAGCCCCUGAUCCACAAAGAGGAAGGCAGAGAUGUUGUGGAUUGAUCCAUGUAGCAGCAGAUCUAUUAGCCUCACCCCUGCUGUACCCCUGAUCCCAUGACACACAUACAAUGAGGGCACUCUAAUGGAAUAAGGCUUUACCACACAAACCAUGAGUAUCUGCUGUGUACCCUUCCCAAAAUCCUAGCCUUGCCUCUAUACAGUAGAACCUACACUGGCUCAGCAGUGCAGGGGCCCUUCAUACUGCUGAGGAAGGAGCUGAAAAAUAUCGCCCACGGUUUUGUUUUGUACAUGUUUCCUUUUCCCAGCUUGGCUCCAGUACAUGAAUUCUGCUUUACAGCCAGGGAUCUAAUAUAAUUAACUAAGCAAUAAGCCUCUGCGCCCUAGAACAUGUCUAGCCUUUCAGAUUAAGGGUUCUCCUAUCACACCCUCUGCUUUCUAAGUAGUCUGCAUCUUGAUAAACACCACUGUUCCUGGGGAGGGUAAGCAUGUAACCAUGGGGUGUUGGAAGACUGUCCUCCCUCCAAAUUAGAGAUGGGCUAAAUCAGACACUUGAAUCCAAACCCAUUAUUCAUAUAGGGGGGGCUGGGCGUUCAGAUUUGAUUCCUUUCCUGUUUUGGCUCUGGGUCAGAUCCCAAACUGGAUGAGGUCUCUCUUCUGGUCCCAGUUUUUUAUGUGGCUGCAGUCUAGCAGGAGCAACUUGUAAGAUCUCACUGUCAUGAGAUCUAUACUGAUUCUGAAGCCCUGAUCUGGCCUUCAACCCAAAUGAUAGACUCGGGGUUAGAUUUGGGCUAGCACCAAACCUACCCAGACCAUCUGUAGCUGAGACAUGGGGGAGUUUCUGUACUGGAAAACUACUUUGGAAAUUGGAGAGUUUCUCUUCCAUAAAGGAACUACAGACCGUACCUCUUAAAUCUUUUCCUUCCUCAUGCAGUUCCCUCCUCCAUCACGUAUCUUUCCUUUAUCUGCCGCAGUAGUGGGGCUGGAUGUCCAAAUUCUAAGUGGAGCUUAUGCUAACAUUGUGGGUGAUGGAUUUCUUCUUCCUUUUCACCUUGGAUUCUUAGUCAGGAACCAGUGUUAGAAAUGUUUCCAUGGGCAAAUCAGAAAGCAUUUCCUUUAAAAACCGAAUCUAACCGCAGUUAGAUUAAUGAAAACCUAAACGCUGGGUGGUUUAUGGAGCACACAGAUGAAGCAGUCACAUCCACACGUCAAGUGUAUUUUCAAAGUGGAGCAUAGGGUUUUAGCCACAUGACUCCCCAUUAAUGUUAAUAGGAACUGCACAGCCAAAUCCCUGCAUGCUGCUUUGAUAAUGUAGUGGCAUAUGUUUAAGAUGUGCAGAUUGAGUUGACAUGGACUCUUAUCUCUUCAGUGUUUCUACUGACUCUUUCACUAGUGUAUUUAUUGAAACAUCAUGUACUUGUCCCUUUCAUUUUUGUUCAAAGCCCAUGGUGGUGUAUGUUCAAUUAAAGCAAUC